GCCGUGUUAACUUUAUGUUUGUAAUAAUUAAUUUCACGAUAAUCAGCUCAACAUUGUGCAACGCAGAAUCGUUUUAAACCAGAAAUGUCUUCUGUUUUGCAGAUAUCAAGGCUGAAGCAUGAACAAAGACGAAAAUGUCCCGGGGGCAGGCAGAAGAGAGGUGCUGGGAUACAGCCUCCUCUGCUAGAUCUCACUUUUAGUAGAUGUUUUCUAAAGUCCCAGCUUCUUCCUUGUUUCUGGGAACUUUCUUGGCUUCCGAGUCAUUUUUUUUUCCUCCUUCCUCCUCUAAUUUCUUAUUUUUUUUUUAAGGGGGAAACGGAGGCAGGGGCUGUGCCACUCGUGUCUGUGAGCAGAUUGCAGAUGUGGUCAUCCCAAGUGACAUCCUACACCCAGAUUCGACUUUGUAUAUGGAGCUGA
rnacentral:lncRNA from 1 species